AUGGUUAAGCUACAAAGGGCACACGGUGGAUGCCUUGGCGCCAGGAGCCGACGAAGGACGUGGCGAACGACGAAACGCUUCGGGGAGCUGUAAGCGAGCUUUGAUCCGGAGAUGUCCGAAUGGGGAAACCCACUGCCCGUAAUGGGGUAGUACUCCUGCCUGAAUCCAUAGGGCAGCGAGAGGCAGACCAGGGGAACUGAAACAUCUAAGUACCCUGAGGAAAAGAAAACAAUCAGUGAUUCCGUCAGUAGCGGCGAGCGAACGCGGAGGAGCCCAAACCAGAAGGUUCGCCUUCUGGGGUUGUAGGGCGUCUCACAUGGAGUUACAAAAGACGGUCAUAGACGAAGCGGUCUGGAAAGGCCCAUCAGAGAAGGUAACAAUCCUGUAGUUGAAAUGACCGUCUCUCCGAGACGUACCCUGAGUAGGGCGGGACACGUGAAACCCCGUCUGAAUCCGGGAGGACCAUCUCCCAAGGCUAAAUACUACCUGGCGACCGAUAGUGAACCAGUACCGUGAGGGAAAGGUGAAAAGCACCCCGGGAGGGGAGUGAAAGAGAUCCUGAAACCGUGUGCCUACAAUUAGUCGGAGCAC
rnacentral:rRNA from 1 species